UACGGAUCAAGGUGAAAAAUGCAGCCAACAUGAAGGAAUAUCAAAACUGUCUGCUGGACUCUACCUAAGCAGUCUUAGGGGUAUUUUUAUCUUUUCAUGAGCUACAGUACUCGGAUUGGGCUGAAAUUUUGCAAACAACUAUAAAACAUUAUUCCCUACAACUUUCAUGUUUUAUACAAAGGCUAAAUCAGCUUUUAACAUGGACGAAUUGCACUGGUCAGAAGCAGGGAAGCUUUGUCACUAUCAAUGCUGGAAUUCUAGAACUAACGCUGGAAAUUGCAACCAAAGCUAGAAAACCAUAUACCAAAACUUAAAAUUUCACAUCAAAGUUAGACCAUCUCAUAUCACAACUAUCAGGUUCAUCUCAUGGUUGGAAAAUGCAUAUCAUGACUUGAAAUUGAACAUUAAAGCUGGAAAAUGUAACCCUAGGCUGAAAUUCCAUCAAUCUUCACCAAUCUAGGUUAUCAUCCAUCAUCCUUCUAAGUUUCAAGUCAUAUAUCCAAUCAAAUGCAACAUAAGAAAGGGAAGAAGAGUUUCUUAGCUUAUUACCUUCAAACCUCAAGGAAAUACACAAAAUCAAGGCUGCCCAUACAAAAAUCACUCCACCCAAAGCUUCCUUGUCACCUUAUUACAAGUUUAAUCGGUUUAGUUUUUGUGAUUCCAAAUCAAACAAGGUAAAAUAGAAGAUGGAAAUUGAAGCUCUCACACUCUUUUUCUCCUCACUAGGUUCGGCCAACAAGGGAAGAAAAUGGAGGAAAAUGGAACCAAGAAGAAGAUAAGAAAGAAAGAAAAAUGCUUGGUCAAAGUUUAACACAUGUCACACUUUGAUUGGUGGUCAAAAUUUUCUUUUCUCUCUCUUGUUUUUUGUCCAAAUUUUCAGCUGCUUUAGAAGAUAUUUUAAGGCUGAUUUUGCUCAAUUAAUAGCAAGGUUAUUAAGGUAAUAAAGUGGUGUUCAAGUGGUGCACUCACUCGGUAACAAACGGUACUCGUCGGUUCGAGCCGAUUUUCCUUAAAUCGC
rnacentral:lncRNA from 1 species